ACCGCCACGGAUGGCAGUGGUUCCAAACAGAAAUGAUGUUUUAAAAGCACAAACCUUUCCCAAGUGCUUUUAAAACUCGUGGUUUAGUUUUUGACAUGGACGUUAAAAACUAAACUGUU
rfam:Treponema phagedenis F0421 genomic scaffold Scfld2951, whole genome shotgun sequence.